CGCCUCCGAAUAUCCUAUGCUUGAAGACUAUUCAUGUUAUGGUAUAGAUACGAAGAGAAGACGUCUUGUUGUCAUGAACUUCCUUCUGGUCGUAACAGUGAACUUCCAUCGUACAGCUGUCUGGUUCGUGAAAAAUUGCAUCUAUGCUCGUAAUUUGUAGCAAACAUUUGUUCUGUUAUAAUUGUAAGCUUAUUAGAUUUGUGGUUAAAAGGCGGAUCGUGUUUGAUCACCGCCCAGUCAUUUUC